rfam:Gossypium raimondii Chr09_contig_417, whole genome shotgun sequence.
UACUAAAAAUUUCAUCCAUUUUUACGGUUAAAAAAUGGCAUGGUUGAAAAAAUAACGAAAUAGAUACAUGUAGCGUGCCAUAACAUACAAGGAUAAUUUUUAACAAUAGAAAUAGAUAGAAUUUUUAACA